rnacentral:rRNA from 1 species
UACGGGGGGGGCAAGCGUUGUUCGGAAUUACUGGGCGUAAAGGGCUCGUAGGCGGCCAACUAAGUCGGAUGUGAAAUCCCCAGGCUUAACCUGGGAACUGCAUCCGAUACUGGAUGGCUUGAAUCCGGGAGAGGGAUGCAGAAUUCCAGGUGUAGCGGUGAAAUGCGUAGAUAUCUGGAGGAAUACCGGUGGCGAAGGCGGGUCUCUGGGCAGUAACUGACGCUGAGGAGCGAAAGCGUGGGGAGCGAACAGG